AAGGGUGGAAAUAGUAAAAUGUGAUAGUGGAAAUAGAAAUGGAUAGAGAGAAAGAAACCCAAAAAAUUGAAAAGUUGAGCCCAAAUUGGAAAUGAGAAAAAGGGGUGGAGGUGGUGGUGGCUGGGCAACGGAAAGAAAGAGAUAUUUGUUAUAUAAGGAUGGGUGGUGCACUGUGGGGGAGACGGGUGAUGGAGAUCGUAAGACGCCAAUGCUGAGAAGCGCCUCCUCCGCGUUUGGCAGAAUGAAGCUGUCUUCAAGGCAUGCUCUCAAUCAUCUCUUGCAUCAUUGCGGGACCAUUCAAUUACUUUCUCCAUUUUUUCUUCAAAUCCAAUUUGUAACCCCCAACAUCCUACUCCAUCUUUACUUUUACAGAUUGCUUUCAUAUUCUAUGCUUGAAUUCUAUCUCUUAUCAAUCUCGCUAUGCCGUGCCUGCCACAUACUCUUGUUA